CAAAUUAGAGCUUGUUAAAGUGUUUCAUUUACCAUUGAAAAGAAAUCAUAAUUAUGAUUAGUUUGA
rnacentral:tRNA from 1 species